UACAGAGGAGCCAAGCGUUGUCCGGAUUGACUGGGCGUAAAGCGCACGCAGGCGGUCGGGCGCGUGGGGUGUGAAAUCUGGCCGCUUAACGGCCAGGCGCCAUCCCAUACGGCCGGACUGGAGUGAUGCAGAGGUCGGUGGAAUUGCCGGUGUAGUGGUGAAAUGCGUAGAUAUGUGGAGGAACACCGAUGGCGAAGGCAGCCCCCUGGGAUGUGACUGACGCUCAUGUACGAAAGCGUGGGGAGCAAACAGG
rnacentral:rRNA from 1 species